GCAGUGAGGAAUAUUGGACAAUGGAGGCAACUCUGACCCAGCCAUGCCGCGUGCAGGAAGACUGCCCUAUGGGUUGUAAACUCCUUUUAUAUAGGAAGAAACCCUGUCCACGCSUGAAACCUUGACGGUACUAUAAGAAUAAGCACCGGCUAACUCCGUGCCAGCAGCCGCGSUAAUACGGAGGGUCGCAAGCGUUAUCCGGAAUCAUUGGGUUUAAAGGGUCCGUASGCGGACAUCGUUAAGUCAGAGGUGAAAUCCCACAGCUCAACUGUGGAACUGCCUUUGAUACUGUGCAGUCUUGAGUCAUUUGGAAGUAGAUAGAAUAUGUAGUGUAGCGGUGAAAUGCAUAGAUAUUACAUAGAAUACCGAUUGCGAAGGCAGUCUUACUACAGAAUGUACUGACGCUGAUGGACGAMAGCGUGGGGAGCGAACAGGAUUAGAUACCCUGGUAGUCCACGCCGUAAACGAUGGACACUAGUUGUUGGGCAUAAUGC
rnacentral:rRNA from 1 species